rfam:Oryza rufipogon genomic scaffold, chr10
CCUGUGCCUAUGAUGAAUGUUGAACCUGUGUCAGGAUUUGAACCACUGGGCAUGUAAAUCUCACUAGGUUUUUUCUGAGGCAUGUU